rnacentral:rRNA from 1 species
AUUGAACGCUGGCGGCAUGCUUUACACAUGCAAGUCGAACGGUAACAGGUUAAGCUGACGAGUGGCGAACGGGUGAGUAAUGCAUCGGAACGUGCCCGGUCGUGGGGGAUAACACUUCGAAAGAAGUGCUAAUACCGCAUACGAUCUGAGGAUGAAAGCGGGGGACCGUAAGGCCUCGCGCGAUCGGAGCGGCCGAUGUCAGAUUAGGUAGUUGGUGGGGUAAAGGCUCACCAAGCCGACGAUCUGUAGCUGGUCUGAGAGGACGACCAGCCACACUGGGACUGAGACACGGCCCAGACUCCUACGGGAGGCAGCAGUGGGGAAUAUUGGACAAUGGGGGGAACCCUGAUCCAGCCAUGCCGCGUGUGUGAAGAAGGCCUUAUGGUUGUAAAGCACUUAAGCGAGGAGGAGGCUACUCUAGUUAAUACCUAGGGAUAGUGGACGUUACUCGCAGAAUAAGCACCGGCUAACUCUGUGCCAGCCGCCGCGGUAA